UACGAGGGGGGCAAAUGUUGUUCGGAAUCACUGGGCGUAAAGGGAGCGUAGGCGGGUUUUAAGUCAGGUGUUUAAUCCCGGGGCCCAACCCCGGACAGGCACUUGAAACUGGGAAUCUUGAAUAGUGGAGAGGUCAGUGGAAUUGGGGGUGUAGCGGUGGAAUGCGUAGAGAUCCCCAAGAACACCCGUUGCGAAGGCGGCUGACUGGACACAUAUUGACGCUGAGGCUCGAAAGCAUGGGGAGCAAACAGGG
rnacentral:rRNA from 1 species